rnacentral:rRNA from 1 species
UACGUAGGGUGCAAGCGUUAAUCGGAAUUACUGGGCGUAAAGCGUGCGAAGGCGGUUAUGCAAGACAGGUGUGAAAUCCCCGGGCUCAACCUGGGAACUGCAUUUGUGACUGCAUGGCUAGAGUACGGUAGAGGGGGAUGGAAUUCCGCGUGUAGCAGUGAAAUGCGUAGAUAUGCGGAGGAACACCGAUGGCGAAGGCAAUCCCCUGGACCUGUACUGACGCCCAUGCACGAAAGCGUGGGGAGCAAACAGG